rnacentral:lncRNA from 1 species
GGCGCCAACAGGAGCCCAUCUCCCCCUCGCUGGCCCAUUUUCCUCCCUCCUCUCGUUAUCCAGCCCAGCUCCACGACCGUCCCCUACCUCCCGCUGGCAUCACCUAGUACGACCGAACCUCCACCACUGAUCCUCCAUGCCUCGAUCCUGCCGCUCCAGCUCGUCCCCCGAGGUGAUAUAAGCCGCCCACCGUCCUCUCCAGCUCUAGGGUUCCUCGUUUUCCUCCCC